rnacentral:rRNA from 1 species
UACGUAGGGGUCUAGCGUUGUCCGGAAUCAUUGGGCGUAAAGAGCUCGUAGGCGGUUCGGCAAGUCGGAUGUGAAAUCUCCACGCUCAACGUGGAGGGGCCAUUCGAAACUGCCGUGACUCGAGUCCGGUAGGGGAGUGCGGAAUUCCCGGUGUAGCGGUGAAAUGCGCAGAUAUCGGGAGGAACACCAGUGGCGAAGGCGGCACUCUGGGCCGGAACUGACACUGAGGAGCGAAAGCCAGGGGAGCAAACGGG